UACGUAGAUCCCGAGCGGUGUCCGGAUUUAUUGGGCGUAAAGCGAGCGCAGGUGGUUUAUUAAGUCUGGUGUAAAAGGCAGUGGCUCAACCAUUGUAUGCAUUGGAAACUGGUAGACUUGAGUGCAGGAGAGGAGAGUGGAAUUCCAUGUGUAGCGGUGAAAUGCGUAGAUAUAUGGAGGAACACCGGUGGCGAAAGCGGCUCUCUGGCCUGUAACUGACACUGAGGCUCGAAAGCGUGGGGAGCAAACAGG
rnacentral:rRNA from 1 species